AGGGGCUUGACUAGGAGAGCCAGCAGGGCAAGAACUAUCACUCCUCUCCUACCCUCAGACUCACUUGCCGGUGACCAAGUCUGGCUCACAACAUCAGACAUUUCUUUCCUUUAGGAGGAUUUAGAUUUUAGAGGUCCUAAUUCAGUCUGGACUCUGGUUUCAUACAAUAGAAUCUGGCAGUGGUAAACUUAACCAUAUGGGGAAUGGAUCAGAAGAGUAUGAAGUAACCCAGCAAAAGGCUGGCAUCUUGCAAAGGUGGAUGGAGCCAAGACUCUUCUGAGAUUUCAUAAGAUACCUCACAGAAAGCCACUCUACGCUGAGAGGGAUGAAACGAAGGUCAGCCUCUAUGCUGGU
rnacentral:lncRNA from 1 species